rnacentral:rRNA from 1 species
UACGUAGGUGGCAAGCGUUGUCCGGAAUUAUUGGGCGUAAAGCGCGCGCAGGCGGUUCCUUAAGUCUGAUGUGAAAGCCCCCGGCUCAACCGGGGAGGGUCAUUGGAAACUGGGGAACUUGAGUACUGAAGAGGAAAGCGGAAUUCCACGUGUAGCGGUGAAAUGCGUAGAGAUGUGGAGGAACACCAGUGGCGAAGGCGGCUUUCUGGUCAGUAACUGACGCUGAGGCGCGAAAGCGUGGGGAGCGAACAGG